AUUGAACGCUGGCGGCAUGCUUUACACAUGCAAGUCGAACGGUAACAGGCCGCAAGGUGCUGACGAGUGGCGAACGGGUGAGUAAUGCAUCGGAACGUGCCCAGUCGUGGGGGAUAACUACUCGAAAGAGUAGCUAAUACCGCAUACGAUCUAUGGAUGAAAGCGGGGGACCGUAAGGCCUCGCGCGAUUGGAGCGGCCGAUGUCAGAUUAGGUAGUUGGUGGGGUAAAGGCUCACCAAGCCAACGAUCUGUAGCUGGUCUGAGAGGACGACCAGCCACACUGGGACUGAGACACGGCCCAGACUCCUACGGGAGGCAGCAGUGGGGAAUUUUGGACAAAGGGCGCAAGCCUGAUCCAGCAGUGCCGCGUGCAGGAAGAAGGCCUUCGGGUUGUAAACUGCUUUUGUACGGAACGAAACGGCUCUGGUUAAUACCCGGGGCUAAUGACGGUACCGUAAGAAUAAGCACCGGCUAACUACGUG
rnacentral:rRNA from 1 species